AACUAGUCAUGCGCCUCGGAUGCCGCCGGCCACGGGGCUCCCGGAGGGGGGUCCGACACCGCCCGGUGCCCGGGAUCCCCAAUCUGGCCGGUGGAUGAGGCCCCAUCCCAUGCACCCGAGUGCGGGGGACGGGGGGGUUAAUAUUAAUUCAGGAUCCCAUCCCCACCCGAGGCAGGACACCCAGUGCACGCCCCAACUCCGGGACGCGGGCUCUGACCCUGGAACUUCCGAGAUUCCCGCGACGCCCCCUGUCUCUGGGUCCAGAACUUCGGGGGACACCUCUUCUGCCUCCUCCAACCCCAGAGAUGGGGUGUCACUAUGUUGCCCAGGCUGGUCUCCAACUCCUGGACUCAAGAGAUCUGCCUGCCUCAGCCUCUCAAAGGGCUGGGAUAACAGAUGUAAGCCACUGCAUCUGGCCUCCAAUGAGUUGUUAUGUGAAGAGAACGUGAUUAAGUUAGAGGACUCCAACCAGGCCUGAACUCUCAAGGACAGAAAUGGGUCCAACCUGGCAUGACAUCCUCUAAAUCUUUAGCUCCUGGCCUCUCAGGUGCCCCCUCCAGCUACCUCCCUCUUCCUUCUCUUCAUUCCCCAAGCCAUAGCUGGUUGGGCCAACCUCCAGACAUUAGCCUCUUUGCAAACUCCUAUUCAUCCCUCAAAGCCUCACCUUCAAUGCUCUCCUCCCCAAGAAGCUCUCUCCUCUACCUCUAGACCUUUUCCAGCCCUCUUCCCUCUUUCUGGCCCAGCCCUGACUCCUGGGAGUGUCUGUGUGCAGCUUUGACUCCCCCAGCCUGAGUGUCUCUCAAGGGCUGAGACCAGGGCCCAUGUUUCCCUAGAGUUUGUCAUCUUCCAGCAUAGUGUGGACGCAUGGGGGUCAGGCAAAGGGGGAGUUUGAUGACUCAGUACUAUUGGUGAUUUUGCAUCACUUGAAGGAGACCCUGCCUUAAAUUCAGAACUUGA
rnacentral:lncRNA from 1 species